AGGGAAUCUUCCACAAUGGACGCAAGUCUGAUGGAGCAACGCCGCGUGAGUGAAGAAGGCUUUCGGGUCGUAAAACUCUGUUGUUGGAGAAGAAUGGUCGGCAGAGUAACUGUUGUCGGCGUGACGGUAUCCAACCAGAAAGCCACGGCUAACUACGUGCCAGCAGCCGCGGUAAUACGUAGGUGGCAAGCGUUAUCCGGAUUUAUUGGGCGUAAAGCGAGCGCAGGCGGUUUUUUAAGUCUGAUGUGAAAGCCCUCGGCUUAACCGAGGAAGCGCAUCGGAAACUGGGAAACUUGAGUGCAGAAGAGGACAGUGGAACUCCAUGUGUAGCGGUGAAAUGCGUAGAUAUAUGGAAGAACACCAGUGGCGAAGGCGGCUGUCUGGUCUGUAACUGACGCUGAGGCUCGAAAGCAUGGGUAGCGAACA
rnacentral:rRNA from 1 species